CCUACGGGUGGCAGCAGUGAGGAAUAUUGGUCAAUGGGCGCGAGCCUGAACCAGCCAAGUCGCGUGAGGGAAGACGGUCCUAUGGAUUGUAAACUUCUUUUGUCGGGGAGUAAAAGUCGCCACGUGUGGCUUUUUGCGUGUACCCUAUGAAUAAGCAUCGGCUAACUCCGUGCCAGCAGCCGCGGUAAUACGGAGGAUGCGAGCGUUAUCCGGAUUUAUUGGGUUUAAAGGGGGCGGAGGUGGGAGGUUAAGUCAGCGGUUAAAUUUUGUGGCUCAACCUUAAAAUUGCCGUUGAAACUGGAAGUCUUGAGUGCGUGUGAGGUAGGCGGAAUGCGUGGUGUAGCGGUGAAAUGCAUAGAUAUCACGCAGAACCCCGAUUGCGAAGGCAGCAUACCAACGCACAACUGACACUGAUGCACGAAAGUGUGGGUAUCGAACAGGAUUAGAUACCCGAGUAGUC
rnacentral:rRNA from 1 species